AUAACAUGAACUGGAAUGUUGACACUGGAGGCUGUGGACGCUGCUCCUAUGAGGAAGGAGUGCCCUGAGUAGUAAGCUGCUUUGAGGCCCAGUUGAGUGAGCAAAGACCUGACGUAGGUCAUGAAGGUUGUAGUGGUGAGUACCGAACUUUGUAAUAGUAUUAAUGGUUGUGAUGGUAUUGAAAUAUGAUGCUAUAGGUAUGCAUCCAGAACCUUUGCGG